UGAGGGAUAUUGCACAAUGGGCGAAAGCCUGAUGCAGCGACGCCGCGUGGGUGAAGAAGGCCUUCGGGUCGUAAAGCCCUUUUCCCACUGAAGAGGAAGGACGGUAAGUGGGGAAUAAGUCUCGGCUAACUACGUGCCAGCAGCCGCGGUAAAACGUAGGAGGCAAGCGUUAUCCGGAGUUACUGGGCGUAAAGAGCGCGCAGGCGGUUCGAUAAGUGGGUCGUGAAAGCUCCCGGCUAAACUGGGAGAGGACGAUUCAGACUGUCGGGCUAGAGGAUGGUAGAGGGGCGUGGAAUUCCGGGUGUAGCGGUGAAAUGUGUAGAGAUCCGGAGGAACACCAGUGGUGCAGACCGGCGCCCUGGGGCCACACCGUGACGGCUGAGGCGCGAAAGCUUGGGGAGCGAACGGGAUUAGAAACCCCUUGUAG
rnacentral:rRNA from 1 species